UACGUAGGGGGCAAGCGUUAUCCGGAUUUACUGGGUGUAAAGGGAGCGUAGACGGCGGUGCAAGCCAGAUGUGAAAGCCCGGGGCUCAACCCCGGCGAGCCGUUGAAACUGGCGGGCUGGAGUUGGAGAGAAGUACGCGGAAUGCGCGGUGUAGCGGUGAAAUGCUUAGAUAUCGCGCAGAACCCCGAUUGCGAAGGCAGCGUACCGGCUCCACACUGACGCUGAGGCACGAAAGCGUGGGUAUCGAACAGG
rnacentral:rRNA from 1 species